GGCAGGCUUAACACAUGCAAGUCGAGCGGAAACGAUGGGAGCUUGCUCCCAGGCGUCGAGCGGCGGACGGGUGAGUAACACUUAGGAAUCUACCUAGUAGUGGGGGAUAGCUCGGGGAAACUCGAAUUAAUACCGCAUACGACCUACGGGAGAAAGGGGGCAGUUUACUGCUCUCGCUAUUAGAUGAGCCUAAGUCGGAUUAGCUAGAUGGUGGGGUAAAGGCCUACCAUGGCGACGAUCUGUAGCUGGUCUGAGAGGAUGAUCAGCCACACCGGGACUGAGACACGGCCCGGACUCCUACGGGAGGCAGCAGUGGGGAAUAUUGGACAAUGGGGGGAACCCUGAUCCAGCCAUGCCGCGUGUGUGAAGAAGGCCUUUUGGUUGUAAAGCACUUUAAGCAGUGAAGAAGACCUAACGGUUAAUACCCGUUAGCGAUGACAUUAGCUGCAGAAUAAGCACCGGCUAACUCUGUGCCAGCAGCCGCGGUAAUACAGAGGGUGCAAGCGUUAAUCGGAAUUACUGGGCGUAAAGCGAGCGUAGGUGGCUUGAUAAGUCAGAUGUGAAAUCCCCGGGCUUAACCUGGGAACUGCAUCUGAUACUGUUAAGCUAGAGUAGGUGAGAGGGAAGUAGAAUUCCAGGUGUAGCGGUGAAAUGCGUAGAGAUCUGGAGGAAUACCGAUGGCGAAGGCAGCUUCCUGGCAUCAUACUGACACUGAGGCUCGAAAGCGUGGGUAGCAAACAGGAUUAGAUACCCUGGUAGUCCACGCCGUAAACGAUGUCUACUAGUCGUUGGGUCCCUUGAGGACUUAGUGACGCAGCUAACGCAAUAAGUAGACCGCCUGGGGAGUACGGCCGCAAGGUUAAAACUCAAAUGAAUUGACGGGGGCCCGCACAAGCGGUGGAGCAUGUGGUUUAAUUCGAUGCAACGCGAAGAACCUUACCUGGUCUUGACAUACACAGAAUCUUGUAGAGAU
rnacentral:rRNA from 1 species